UAACCUGCGGAAGGAUCAUUA
rnacentral:ncRNA from 6 species